AUACGGAGGAUCCGAGCGUUAUCCGGAUUUAUUGGGUUUAAAGGGUGCGUAGGCGGGCUGUUAAGCGUGAGGUGAAAGCUCGGGGCUCAACCCCGGAACUGCCUCGCGAACUGGCGGUCUUGAAUGUCCGUGCCGUGGGAGGAAUGUGUGGUGUAGCGGUGAAAUGCAUAGAGAUCACACAGAACACCGAUUGCGAAGGCAUCUGAAGAAUCCGUCACUGACGCUGAGGCACGAAAGCGUGGGGAUAGAACAGGAUUAGAUACCCUGGUAUUCCACGCCGUAAACGAUGAUGGCUAACCGUCGGCGAUAGACAGCCGGUGGCCAAGCGAAAGCGAUAAGUCAUCCACCUGGGGAGUACGUCGGCAACGAUGAAACUCAAAGGAAUUGACGGGG
rnacentral:rRNA from 1 species